ensembl:lncRNA
GGAACUUACAGCCACUCAAAUCCUUCUUCUGGGAAAAAGGUCCCAUAAAGUGCUUCCCAACACUUGCAAGAAUGCAAACAGGAUUUGAAGAAGUGAAAAUCAGUCGUUUGAGCAUUCAGAUCAAACAGAAAAGAGGAGAGAAGGACGCCGAGGAUGUGAAAUCUUGUACAGACACCUGCAAAAACCAAAGCAGCUGUUUGCUGUGUUGCACUGGCAGGAGUGCUGUGCAGAGCAGGAGGAGUGGUUGCCUCACAAAGUUUUGGGCUCAAACUCUGCCUCUCAGCAGCCAAGGAGUAUGGGGAAUAAAUCCUGAGUGCACACAAGGGACACUUAAGAUCAGGAAUCUCAGUCUGCAGGAUGAACUGUUAAGAUGGAUACCCUGGCUGAAGUCUGCCAAGGCUCAGAGGAGCACAGCAGCAUGCCAGAUCCUCCCUGGAUUUGAGCAUAUCAGCCUGCUAAGUGUCCAGCAAGGAUACAAAUCAGAGGGACUGCCAUCUGCACUUAUCAAGACAGUUGUGGACUUUCUUUGA